CCUAAUCUGAUUCGUUCAAAGAAUGUUUUGGCUGAAUGUAAACUCCUUGUGUGUAAACUUGAAGGAGUUAGUACAGUUUACCUUUAAAUUUCAAUAUCAUUGUAAAUAGUUAGUUUAAAAAUUUUAACAUGCUUUUCCUCAACAUUUGGCCCUCAUUUAAAAAGAGGUCAGAUAAGAACCAACUCAAAUUCCAUCUGGUAUUUUUUUAAUAUAUCAUUCAAGGGUAUACAUUUUAGCCUUUUUUUUUCUUUUCUUUUUUUUUUUUGCAUUAAGACCAUGCAUUCCUAAGACAAACUUAGUUGUCAGAAAUUUUGCCACCAAAGGCAAAUGCUUAAGGCCAUGUAGGGAUUGAUGUUGUAUUUUUUGGUAGAGACGGGUUUUCACCAUAUUGGCCAGGCUGGUCUCUUAACUUCUGACCUCAGGUGCUCCACCCGCCUUAGCCUCCCAAAAUGCUGGGAUUACAAUGGAUAAUUUGGGACAUCCAUGUCCAAAAUGGUGGCAAGAUCAGUUUGUUCCUUUAGAAUCUUUAUGAGCCUGAUUUUCUAGAGCUUGACUCAACAUACAAAGAUUUUUUUUAAAGUUUUUUAAAUAUCAAUAGCAAGGUUCACUGAAGAAGGGGCAGCCAUAAAAGGCAAAAGGACAGUUAAUUUAUUAAAGGGUAGGACAUUUUUCAGCAGUUUCCAAAGAGAAAUGUUAACACUAGUGCACUUGUAUAUAAUUAGACAAAUUCAUCAACUGACCCUGAAUUUCAUAGUUUGUAUUCCUGCUAAGGAAAAACAACUAGUUUUCUAUAUGCUAUUAGGCUAAUGAUUUGUUUGACUGCCAUGUAUGCAUCAUCAGAAAAAGAAAACACUUAGCAAUUGUAGCAUUUGCCCCUAGAAUAACCUUUCUAAAGAGACUUUGGAAACAUUCCCUAAUUGAAGCUUUGAUCCACACCUGGGACCACACAAGACAUAAAAACGCAGUCAGAAAAGAGGCAGAGAAGAGCUAUUCUCUGAAACAGAGAGUAUUAACAUCCCUUCUUUAAAAGGGCACAGAAAGAACACUGGAUUUCACUAUAAGAUGAAGAUAUUUUGGGAAAGUAUUCUAUGCAUGCCAAAGUUCCAGCUGGCACCAGAGCAUACCUCUCUCUAUCAGCUAAGACCACAGACUAAUACUAUAUUAACCAUUUCUUUAAAAAUAUCUCCAGUGUGAGCUGGCAGGUUUGUUUAUCCACAAAAGAGUCUGGAGACUUACUCUGACAAGCUGGUGUAGGACAUAUUUUUUGUCACAUGAAAACACAUACCACACGACAAAUUUUUAGAUACAAAAUGCAAACUUAGUACUUAUCUGUUGACUCUCUAAAUUUUUCUAGAAAAUUUCAACAGAUACAGAAAUAGAAUACCACAUACUCCACAUUCAACUUCAAUAAUUAUUAACUCAUGAGAAGGGGUGGUGGGGAUAAACCCAGCUCUGCUGAACAAGCCUUGAGCCCUGGCCUGGGGCUGCUCCUGCCUGGGGCAGGGAGCCCCUUUUUAUAAUGUGCACGAAGUCUCCAUAUGGCCUAGAGGUAGCCCAGGAGCUGGCAUACAAAAGUUGGGUGGCAUCUCCUGAAGGAGGAGACAUUAUAGAGGCAUGUCACUUUCUGAGACUCAGUUUACAAAGCAAGAUGCAGAGAAGAAAGGAAGGCUGGCAGCUUGAACUGAGCUGAGCCAUCUGACAAGUGAAGACAGGGUCCUGGCAGGCAGGACUCCCUACUGUGGAGGUCAGGGCCUUCCUGGCACUCUGUGAGGCCUUUUCUGGGUGUUCUCCAAGCUGCUGUCCACUGCCAAGGAGGAGCCUCCACCAGGCAGGCCAGAGUGGCAUGCAACUGCUGGCACCCAGCGGCUACCACAUUCCCACCCAGAUGCUGCCUGAGCUUUGGGCACACCCCUUCCCACAACUGUCCCCUUGCUUUCCCCCUCCUCCUGGGCUAUCAUCAGGCUGUAGCGAAAGCAUCAGAAGCUCCCUGGGGAUAUGUCUGAAACCCCUUGGCUGGGAUAAUCAGCACCAGAAAAGCAUUAAAAACAGGAAGCCACAGGGAUAAUUGACAGGCAUUGCUGCAAACACCUGGGGUGGGGGUGUGCUCAGAAUAGGGACAGAAUAAGGAGAGGCAGCGUCCAGGAUUGGGGAAGAAUAACACAGGACUGUUCUGGGGAUGUGGGGAUGUGUCUCAUCAUAAGGUCCCAUUCAUUAUGUUCCACUAGGUUCUCCCAAUAUACUAAAGCUGAGAUCAUAAACUGUCAUGACAAAGAACAGGUCAUCUGUACUUUCUCUGAAAGCCUCAUGAUUAGACAGUAGAAUAGCUUAGAAGAGUGACAUAAUGUUUAGACCCUUUUUUUCUGUUUCUUGCCCAGAGUUCUUUCACAACCUCUAGAUGAUAUGAAAAUGGACACAACACAUGGCUCCAAAAUCCCAGAGUACUACAGAAUUCUUAAACCCAUGCAUGGUAGAUAAGAAGGCAAAAAGCAAAGCAGUUAUAAAUGGAAGGCUGCAAGCAGAAGCUUUCUGUUUACC
rnacentral:lncRNA from 10 species